GACAGAGGGUGCAAACGUUGCUCGGAAUCACUGGGCGUAAAGGGCGUGUAGGCGGGAAGGUAAGUCGGGCGUGAAAUCCCUGAGCUCAACUCAGGAACUGCACUCGAAACUACUUUUCUUGAGUGCCGGAGAGGAAAGCGGAAUUCCUGGUGUAGCGGUGAAAUGCGCAGAUAUCAGGAGGAACACCGGUGGCGAAGGCGGUUCUCUGGGCAUUACCUGACGCUGAGGAGCGAAAGUGUGGGGAGCGAACAGG
rnacentral:rRNA from 1 species